rnacentral:rRNA from 1 species
AACGAACGCUGGCGGCAGGCUUAACACAUGCAAGUCGAGCGCCCCGCAAGGGGAGCGGCAGACGGGUGAGUAACGCGUGGGAACGUACCUUUUGGUUCGGAACAACUCCGGGAAACUGGAGCUAAUACCGGAUAAGCCCUAACGGGGAAAGAUUUAUCGCCGAAAGAUCGGCCCGCGUCUGAUUAGCUAGUUGGUGAGGUAACGGCUCACCAAGGCGACGAUCAGUAGCUGGUCUGAGAGGAUGAUCAGCCACACUGGGACUGAGACACGCCCCAGACUCCUACGGGAGGCAGCAGUGGGGAAUAUUGGAGAAUGGGCGCAAGCCUGAUCCAGCCAUGCCGCGUGAGUGAUGAAGGCGUUAGGGUUGUAAAGCUCUUUUGUCCGGGAAGAGAAUGACUGUACCGGAAGAAUAAGCCCCGGCUAACUUCGUG